CACGUAGGGGGCAAGCGUUGUCCGGAUUUAUUGGGCGUAAAGAGCGUGUAGGCGGCUAGGUAGGUCCGUUGUGAAAACUCGAGGCUCAACCUCGAGACGUCGAUGGAAACCAUCUAGCUAGAGUCCGGAAGAGGAGAGUGGAAUUCCUGGUGUAGCGGUGGAAUGCGCAGAUAUCAGGAGGAACACCGAUGGCGAAGGCAGCUCGCUGGGACGGUACUGACGCUGAGGCGCGAAAGCGUGGGGAGCGAACAGG
rnacentral:rRNA from 1 species